rnacentral:lncRNA from 1 species
GACUAUUCAAAUUUUUUCUCAAUCCUGUGGAUGUGAAACAGUGGUUUCUUAAAAACAAACAGAUUUGUAUUGUAGGAUAUUUUAACAUGUACAAAAAUAGAUUAGUGCAGUGAAUUGUUUUGUGUUUCAUCACCCUCAUCUCACCAGUUAUUGACACAUGGCUAGUCUUGUUUUGUCUACACCCUUUGCCCCUCCUCUCUCAUGUUAUUAUGAAGAAAUCUGAGAUAGAAUACUAUUCUAUCUGAAAAGACUCAUCUUCAGCACAUACUGCUUUUUAAAUGUAGCCACAAUAGCCUUAUCUCACUAUAAACUGACAGUAAUUCUUUCAUUUAUCAAAUGUUAGUCAGUGUUUCAGUUUUUCCAAUUUUCUUAUAAUACUUUCACAUUUGUUUGUCCAAGUCAGGAUCUAAAUAAGACCCAUGCAUUGUAAUUGGUCUCAAUCUAUAGGUUUCCUUCACUCUUUCUUACAGUCUCUAUCUUUGUGAGGUUAGUAACCAUUAAGGAUCAUUGCCUAAAAGAUCCACUAAUUCACAAAUGUACAAGAAAUUGAGGAGCUGAGACGCAGCUAGCAAAAUGAUGAUAGUAUAUCAUUCUUUCUUUGGUUACUAGCAGGAUCUCUAUAAAGAUAGAUUUCUAGCUGGGCAUGGAGGCUCAAUCCUAUUACAGCUACUUGGGAGGUUGAGGCAGGGGGAUUACAAGUUCAAGACUGUCCUGGGCAAUUUGGUGAGAGACCCUGUCUUAAAAUUUAAAAAGGACUGGGGAUUUAGCUCGGUGGUAGAGAGUUUGCCUAGCAAGCAUGAGGUUAUGGAUUUGAUUCUAAGUAUCACUAAAU